CUGUAUAAAUAGUAUACCCAUGAAAUUGGCCCACGAAAGAAAAACAGGUGCCUGUGUUAAAAGUCAGGUGAAGUAAAAAGAGAAUUAGAUUAGGUGUCUUAGUCUGUUUAGUGUUGCUAUAAAGGAAUACCUGAGGCUGGGUAAUUUAUAAAGAAAAGAGGUUUAUUUGGCUCACGGUUCUGCAGACUGUACAAGAAGCAUGGCACCAGCAUCUGCUUCUGAUGAGAGCCUCAGGCUGCUUCCACUCAUGGCAGAAGGAGAAGGGGAGCCAGUGUAUGCAGAGAUCACAUGGUGAGAGAGGAAGUAAGAGAGAGAAGGGAGAUGCCAGGAUCUUUUUAACAAUCAGCUUUCUCAGGAAAGAACAGAGUGAGAACUCAGUCACUCUCACUCUCCAGGGAGGACAUUAAUCUAUUCAUGAGGGGUCUGCCCCCAUGACCCAAACACCCCCCAUUAGGCCCUACCUCCAACACUGAGGAUUAAAUUUCAACAUGAGAUUUGGAGGGGUCAAACAUACACACUAUAGCACUAAACUCUAAUUUGAAAGGGAAUACACUUUCAAGACUAAAAUACAUUUUCUUUUUUUUUUUUUUUUUUUUUUUUUUGAGAUGGAGUCUUGCUCUGUCGCCCAGGCUGGAGUGCAGUGGCGUGAUCUCAGCUCACUGGAAUCUCCACCUCCUGGGUUCACACCAUUCUCCUGCUUCAGCCUCCGAACAGCUGGGACUACAGGCACCCGCCACCAUGUCGGCUAAUUUUUUGUAUUUUUAGUAGAGAUGGGGUUUCACCAUGUUAGCCAGAAUGGACUCGAUCUCCUGACCUCGUGAUCCACUCGCCUCAGCCUCCCACAGUGCUGGGAUUACAGGCGUGAGCCACCGCGCCUGGCCUGACUAAAAUACAUUUUCAAGACUAAAAGCUAAGAACAAAGAUUUAGAGAUUUGAUACAGCAUUUGUAGAGAGGGCUUUUAGAGUGAUCUCAACCUGAUGUAACUGGCUGUGAAAUGUAAUUCUUCCAGGAUGAAAGGUGAAGAUCAGUAUGCAUACAUGUAUUUAUCUACAGUAUAUACACAUAAUACAUAGUAAAGAAUUAAGCUUCAGUAACCUGUAAAAUUUGCCUAAGUAGAAUACUGAUUUUGCAGAGAUAUGGGCUAAGUAAGAUACUAUCCUACACAUAAACACACGCAGAUGAUAGAAUGAAGUUAAAAACUGUUUCCAUUCUUCUUCUACACCUUAUAUAUUCAUGUCUAUAACAGCCCAUAACACACUGUUUACAUGUCUGACUUGCCCAACAGACUGUGAAGUCCUUAAGUCUAGCAGGGUGCUACAUUCAUUUAUUAUUCAGUAAAUAAAUGUUGAGCCAAACUGAAGUUACAGGAGAGAAGCAGAAAUCAUCAUGGAUUCACACAAGAGUGGGAGGGAUUUUUUUUUUUUUUUUUUUGAGAUGGAGUUUCACUCUUGUCGCCCAGGCUGGAGUACAAUGGCGUGAUCUCAGCUCACUGCAACCUCCACCUCCUGGGUUCAAGCAGUUCUCAUGACUCAGCCUCCCAAGUACCUGGGAUUAAAGGCACGUGCCACCACACCUGGCUAAUUUUUGUAUUUUUAGUAGAGACGGGGUUUCACCAUAUUGGCCAGGCUGGUCUUGAGCUCCUCCCCUCAGGUGAUCCACCCACCUCAACCUCCCGAAGUGCUGGGAUUACAGGUGGGUGGAUCACAAGGUCAGGAGUUCAAGACCAGCCUGGCCAACAUAGUGAAACCUCUUCUCUACUAAAAAUACAAAAAUUAGCCAGGUGUGGUGGCACGUGCCUGUAGUCCCAGCUAUGAUACUCAGGAGGCUGAAGCAGGAGAAUACCUUGAACCUGGCAAGCAGAGGUUGCAGUGAGCCGAGACCACGCCAUUGCACUCCAGCCUGGGUGACAGAGUGAGACUCCAUCUCAAAAAAAAAGAAUAUCACGCCUGUAAUCCCAGCACUUUGGGAGGCCGAGGCGGGUGGAUCACGAGGUCAGGAGAUCGAGACCAUCCCGGCUAAAACGGUGAAACCCCGUCUCUACUAAAAAUACAAAAAAUUAGCCGGGCGUAGUGGCGGGCGCCUGUAGUCCCAGCUACUUGGGAGGCUGAGGCAGGAGAAUGGCGUGAACCCGGGAGGCGGAACUUGCAGUGAGCCGAGAUCCCGCCACUGCACUCCAGCCUGGGCGACAGAGCGAGACUCCGUCUCAAAAAAAAAAAAAAGAAUAAAAGAAAGUCAAAAAGAACAAGAAGGAAGGAUUCAUCAAUUAAUACACCAGUUUGGUAAUAGCAGUCAUGGAAAUGAUAGUUGAGGGAUAAAUCCCAGAGAAACUCAAAGUCUAGGGUAGAAGUUUGGCCUAGAGAAGACCUAGUAAAGACGCUUUUCACAGGGAAGUAUCAUGAAGCACUAUUUCAGAAAGAUGCCACAAAAACAGAACUGAAGCAACUUCACUUUUUAUCCCACUCCAUGAUUCCCUAUUGUGUUUACCAACUGCCUUAAGAAGUCUGGCCCUCAUGGUGCAUCAUUUCAACCAAUCACUCAAUGACUUCUCCACAUUUGUGGAUGUAUAUAUAUGUAUUUUUUUAAUAUUUGAGACAGGGUCUCGCUCUGUCACCCAGGCUGGAGUGCAGUGGUAUGAUCAUGGUUCACUGCAGCCUCUAUCUCCCAGAAUCAAGGGAUUCUCCCGCCUCAGCUUCCUGAGUAGCCUGCAUGCCACCAUGCCCAGCUAUUUUUUUUAUUUUUAUUUUUAGUAGAGACAGAGUCUCACUAUGUUGCUCAGACUGGUCUCGAACUGCUGGGCUCAAGCAAUCCUUCUGCCUCAGCCUCCCAAAGUGCUUGGAUUACAGGGUGAGUUACCCUGCCCAGCUGACUUCUCUACAUUUGUGAAGUCACUAAAAUGACCUCAGCCUUGGUUUUCUCUAUAUAAUAGCAGAACUAGGAUCAAUCCAACCACUUACCUUCUACAUUCCUACAUGCAGGCUGCUGAGUACUGCUCCAGAAAAGAACACAACUGUGCCGACUGUCACCAAUCCAAUUCAUGUUUCUAAACUCAGCAGUUUUGUAAUCCUUUCACCCCUCCCAUUCCCCACAGCAGCUGGUUCUCAUGCCAUCUAUCCUGCCAUCAAAAUCUCCUUCCUUCAUAAUAGCCAAAAACUAGAAAUAUGUGUCCAUUAAUUGAUGAAUGGAUAAACAAAAUGUAGUAUAUCCAUACAACAGAGUAUUACCGGGCCACAAAAAGGAACGAAGUACUGAUAAAAACAACAAAUAGAAACAUUAUACUAAGUUGCCUGUAAUCCCAGCACUUUGGGAGGCCGAGGUGGGAGGAUCACUUGAGGCCAAGAGUUCAAGACCAGCCUGGCCAACAUGUCGAAACCUCGUUCGUCUCUACUGAAAAUACAAAAAUUACCCGGGUGUGGUGGCAGGCGCCUGUAAUCCCAACUACUCAGGAGGCUGAGGCACAAAAAUCACUUGAACCUGGGAGGUGAAGGCUGCAGUGAGGAGCCGAGAUUGUGCCACUAUACUUCAGCCUAGACGACACAGUGAGACUCUCAAAAAAAAAAGAAAGAAAGAAACAUUAUACUAAGUGAAAGAAGUCACACAAAAGGCCAUGUAUUUUAUGAUUCCAUUUAUAUGAAAUGUCCAAAGUAGGCAAAUCCACAGAGCUAGAAAGUAAACUAGUGGUUGCUAGGAUUGGGGGGUGGAAAGUGACUGUUAAUGGGUAUAGACUGUUUUGGGGGUGAUACUAGAAAUAAUAUAUGUAAAGUAACUAGCACAUAGAUAGCACACAUUUUUAUCUCAAUAAAGCUGUUAUUUAAAAACAAAAACAAGAAACAAGAUGGUGGAUCACACCUAGAGUCCCAGCUACUUGGGAGGCUGAGGGAGGAUCACUGGAGACCAGGAGUUCAAAUUCAGCACCUGGGAAACACAGCGAGACCCCAUGUAUUAAAAAAUAAACACAGGAGUUCAAGACCAGCCUGGGCAACAUAGUGAGACCUUGUCUCUACAAAAAAUUUAAAAAAUUAGCCAGGUAUGGUAGUGCAUGACUGUGGUCCCAGCUACUGAGGAGGCUGAAGUGGGAGGAUCUCUUGAACCCAGGAGAUCAAGGCUGCAGUAAGCCAUAAUCAUGCAACUGUACUCCAGCCUGGGCAACAGGGCAAGACCCUGUCUCAAAAAAAUAAGAACAGGCCAGGCACAGUGGCUCACGCCUGUAAUCCCAGCACUUUGGGAGGCCGAGGUGGGCGGAUCUCAAGGUCAGGAGUUCGAGACCAUCCUGCUUAACACGGUGAAACCCCGUCUCUACUAAAAAUACAAAAAAAUUAGCUGGGCGUGGUGGCGGACACCUGUAAUCCCAGCUACUUCGGAGGCUGAGGCAGAAGAAUGGCAUGAACCUGGAAGGCGGAGCUUGCAGUGAGCCGAGAACAUGCCACUGCACUCCAGCCUGGGCAACAGAGCGAGACUCCGUCUCAAAAAAAUUAGCCAGGCGUGGUGGCGCAUGUCUGAAAUCCCAGCUACUUGGGAGGCUGAGGCAGGAGAAUCGCUUGAAUCCAGGAGGUGGAGGUUGCAGUGAGCGGAGAUCGCACCACUGCACUCCAGCCUGGGCGACAAGAGCGAAACUCCAUCUCAAAAAUAAAUAAAUAAAUAAAUAAAUAAUAAAAAUAAAAAUAAACACACACAGAAACAAAAACCACCCUCCUCCUUAAGAGUUGACAUCAUUAACUCCAAUUCAUAAAGAAAACUGAAUCUACAAGUUACCUUCAAAAAAAAAAAAAAAAAAGUGCAGGCACGGUGCCUCACGCCUGUAAUCCCAGCACUUUGGGAGGCCAGGGAGCGGAUCACGAGGUCAGGAGAUGGAGACCAUCCUGACUAACACAGUGAAACCCCAUCUCUACUAAAAAUACAAAAAAUUGCGGGGCACAGUGGCUCACGCCUGUAAUCCCAGCACUUUGGGAGGCUGAGGCAGGCGGGUCACCUGAGGUUGGGAGUUCGAGACCAGCCUGACCAACAUGGAGAAACUCUGUCUCUAUUAAAAAAAAAAAAUACAAAAUUAGCCAGGCAUGGUGGCACAUGCUUGUAAUCCCAGCUACUCGGGAGGCUGAGGCAGGAGAAUUGCUUGAAUCUGGGAGGCGGAGGUUGCAGUGAGCCAAGAUGGCACCAUUGCACUUCAGCCUGGACAACAAGAGCAAAGCUCCAUCUCAAAAAAAAAUACAAAAAAUUAGCCGUGCAUGGUAGCACGCGCCUGUAGUCCUAGCUACUUGGGAGGCUGAGGCUGGAGAAUUGCUUGAACCCAGGAGGCAGAGGUUGCAGUGAGCCAAGAUUGCACCACUGCACUCCAGCCUGGGCAACAGAGUGAGACUCCAUCUCAAAAACAAACAAACAAACAAACAAAAAAACUCCUUGGUUGUUGAAGGUAGCUUGGUAAUUUAAAACAACAACAACAACAACAACAUUAAGUUUGUUGCUUUGUAAAGACUUGAUAAUGUUUUUUUAAAACUGUUUUAGGCCGGGGGCAGUGGCUCACACCUGUAACCCCAGCACUUUGGGAGGCCAAGGCGGGCGGAUCACUUGAGCUCAGGAGUUCAAGACCAGCCUGGCCAACAUGGUGAAACCCUGUCUCUACUAAAAAUACAAAAAUUAGCUGGGCAUGGUAGUAGUCCCAGCUGUAGUCCCAGCUAUUCAGGAGGCUGAGGCACAAGAAUCCCUUGAACCUAGGACUGGAGGUUGCAGUGAGCUGAGAUCAUGCCACUGCAUUCCAGCCUAGGUGACAGAGCUAGAUUCUGUUUAAAAAAUACUGCUUUAAUAGUAUGUAUCGGCAAGAAAAAUGCAAAAUAUUAGGGAAAAGAUCUAAAAAAAUAUAAACCCCAGUUGAUGUUUUGCUCUUAGAUUGCUUUUUUAGCCUAAGUAAAGAUUUGCCUUGCUUUAAAGAAACUGUGCCUUUUGGUUACAGUUUAUUACAAGAUAGCCAAGGUCCUUGUAAUAAUAAGUGGACUAAUAAAGAGAAGGUGAAUUUUAAUGUAUGUUUAUAUAUUUUAGUUAAAAUAAAAUGUAGGUCUUUUGUGUAUUUUUAUUUUAUUUAUUUAUUUAUUUAGAGAUGGAGUUUCGCUCUUGUUGCCCAGGCUGGAGUGCAAUGGCACGAUCUCCACUCACUGCAACCUCCACCUGCUGGGUUUAAGCGAUUCUCCUGCCUCAGCCUUCCGAGUAGCUGGGAUUACAGGCAUGCACCACCACGCCCAGGUAAUUUUUUGUAUUUUUAGUAGAAACAGGGCUUCACCAUGUUAGCCAGGCUGGUCUCAAACUCUUGACCUCAGGUGAUCCGCCCGCCACAGCCUCCUAAAGUGCUAGGAUCACAGGCGUGAGCUGCUGUGCCUGGCUUUUUUUUUUUUUUUUUUUUUUUUUUUUUUCGAGACAGAGUCUUGCUCAGUCAUCCAAGCUGGAAUGCGGUGGCACUAUCUGGUC
rnacentral:lncRNA from 1 species